rnacentral:rRNA from 1 species
UGGGGAAUAUUGCACAAUGGGGGAAACCCUGAUGCAGCGACGCCGCGUGGAGGAAGAAGGUCUUCGGAUUGUAAACUCCUGUUGUUGAGGAAGAUAAUGACGGUACUCAACAAGGAAGUGACGGCUAACUACGUGCCAGCAGCCGCGGUAAAACGUAGGUCACAAGCGUUGUCCGGAAUUACUGGGUGUAAAGGGAGCGCAGGCGGGAAGACAAGUUGGAAGUGAAAUCUAUGGGCUCAACCCAUAAACUGCUUUCAAAACUGUUUUUCUUGAGUAGUGCAGAGGUAGAUGGAAUUCCCGGUGUAGCGGUGGAAUGCGUAGAUAUCGGGAGGAACACCAGUGGCGAAGGCGGUCUACUGGGCACCAACUGACGCUGAGGCUCGAAAGCAUGGGUAGCAAACAGGAUUAGAUACCCUGGUAGUCCAUGCCGUAAACGAUGAUUACUAGGUGUUGGGGGAUUGACCCCCUCAGUGCCGCAGUUAACACAAUAAGUAAUCCACCUGGGGAGUACGACCGCAAGGUUGAAACUCAAAGGAAUUGACGGGGGCCCGCACAAGCAGUGGAGUAUGUGGUUUAAUUCGAAGCAACGCGAAGAACCUUACCAGGUCUUGACAUCCGAUGCAUAGCACAGAGAUGUGUGAAAUCCUUCGGGACAUCGAGACAGGUGGUGCAUGGUUGUCGUCAGCUCGUGUCGUGAGAUGUUGGGUUAAGUCCCGCAACGAGCGCAACCCUUAUUGCCAGUUACUACGUUAAGAGGACUCUGGCGAGACUGCCGUUGACAAAACGGAGGAAGGUGGGGAUGACGUCAAAUCAUCAUGCCCUUUAUGACCUGGGCUACACACGUACUACAAUGGCGUUAAACAAAGAGAAGCAAGACCGCGAGGUGGAGCAAAACUCAAAAACAACGUCUCAGUUCAGAUUGCAGGCUGCAACUCGCCUGCAUGAAGUCGGAAUUGCUAGUAAUCGCGGAUCAGCAUGCCGCGGUGAAUACGUUCCC